rnacentral:piRNA from 1 species
UGACUCACAAAUGACUCAGAA